UCGGCUAAUCUUCAAUCUACUCUUCACAGUUCAGUGAGUUCACUCCACUACUCCAGUCUUUGGCUCUUCGCCUCCUCGCCGUCUUCAGUCUUCCUGCUUGGCUGCUGCCGCUGCUUUUGCCGACUGCUCGGCUUCCUGCUUUUGCCGACUCCUUGGCUUCUCAGUCAACUACUCCAGUCUUUGGCGUCUUCGGUCUUCCUGCUUGGCUGCUCUUGCGGACUUGCCGAUUUGCCGUCGGUGCUCAGCACGAAGUUUUAUCUUAACAAGAAGCAAGCAAAGGAGAACAUAUUGUUACAUGGCAUUCAGAGGGCGAGGGCGAGGACGUGGUGGCUUUGGUGGUGGUGGUUUUCGUGCUGCUAAGCAAGAAAAAUUUGAUCUCUUUCCGGAAAUCGAGGAACUAGGAACUGCAGAAGGUGUGAAAGUUGAUCCAUCCUUUGCUGUUUGGUAUAGUAAAUUUCAGAGAUACUGGAACUCUUCUCCCUAUUAUGUUGAAGAUGAAAGUGGAGGUGCAAAGAAAAGUCAAAGCACCGAAAUAGAAAAGUAUUCAGACAGGAAGUCUAAAAAAAAAAGUUCAAAACAGCCACUCUCACACUUCAUAAGAAUGGAGCCUGACUAUGUUCCUGCCGAGCUAGCUAAAGGUGAGAAGAAGGAGAAGCAUGGUGCCAAAAGAGUGAGAUGGAACCCCGAAGCAGACAUGAAGAAGUUGGAUGUCUUUGAAAAGCUUGAGCAGAAGCAUCAGGUAACAAUGCUACUGCUUGUACUCAGCACUGCUUUCCUUCUUUCAGCAGGAACGAAAGAAAGUGAUCUCCUUAUUCAGUGGCACAAUAGAAGGUCAAGAAAUAAAUGAGAAGGAGGAUGAAGAGGAAGAAGAUGAAAAACUAGAAGAAGAAGAGGAGGAGUAUAGUGACGAUGGCGAUUAUAAUCAGAACAUUGAUUUUGAUGAUGAUGAAGACGACUUUAACAUGGGCGAUGAUAAUGAUGAUGAACCAGAACUAUAGAUGAUGUAUUUGUAAAUGACCUAUCUGGCCUCCUCCCAGAUGGCACCAAUUUUGCAGAAAAAAAAAAUCCUUUUUCCUUUUGUAUAAAGCCAGAAGGGAUUCACGAAAUUUUACUCUUUCAAGAUUUGACAGUUCCAGUUUUCAGCGGUGACAUGACAUCCUUCUCUCUGGUUUUUUAGACAUGUACGGUUCUCUCGCGGUUGCAAGUUCUUGGAGUUGGGAGGGAGCUGGAGCUUUGCUUCAUUUUUGAUAGCAUAAAAUUGCAUCUUGAAGUACUCCAAAUACAUUCUUAAGAAGCACCCCUUCCCCCCUUUUUUUCCUUUCUUAAUUCUGAUGUUGGACAUUGGCUUUUUGUCAUUACUGAAGCGUCUCAUGUGAAUACCCUAUAUGCGUUGUAGC